GACGAACGCUGGCGGCGUGCUUAACACAUGCAAGUCGAACGGAAAGGCCCUGCUUUUGUGGGGUGCUCGAGUGGCGAACGGGUGAGUAACACGUGAGUAACCUGCCCUUGACUUUGGCAUAACUUCAGGAAACUGGGGAUAAUACCGGAUAGGAGCUCAUGCCGCAUGGUGGGGGUUGGAAAGUUUGGACGGUUGGGGAUGGAUUCGAGGGUCAUCAGCUUGUUGGUGGGGUAGUGGCUUACCAAGGUUUUGAGUGGUAGCCGGCCUGAGAGGGUGACCGGCCACAAUGGUACUGAGGUACGGACCAGUAGCCAACGGUCGGCAGCAGGGGGGAAUAUGGCGGAAUAGGGGGACGCCUGUUGCAGCAACGCCGCGUGCGUAAUGACGGCCUGUGAGUUAUAAACCGCUUUCGCCUUUGACGAAGCGUGAGUGACGGUAAUGGGUAAGGAAGCACCGGCUAACUACGUG
rnacentral:rRNA from 1 species